UACGUAGGGUGCAAGCGUUGUCCGGAAUUAUUGGGCGUAAAGAGCUCGUAGGCGGUCUGUCGCGUCUGCUGUGAAAACCUAGGGCUUAACUCUGGGCGUGCAGUGGGUACGGGCAGGCUAGAGUGCGGUAGGGGGAGACUGGAAUUCCUGGUGUAGCGGUGAAAUGCGCAGAUAUCAGGAGGAACACCGGUGGCGAAGGCGGGUCUCUGGGCCGUAACUGACGCUGAGGAGCGAAAGCAUGGGGAGCGAACAGG
rnacentral:rRNA from 1 species